rnacentral:rRNA from 1 species
UUAGCGGCGGACGGGUGAGUAACACGUGGAUAACCUACCUAUAAGACUGGGAUAACUUCGGGAAACCGGAGCUAAUACCGGAUAAUAUUUUGAACCGCAUGGUUCAAAAGUGAAAGACGGUCUUGCUGUCACUUAUAGAUGGAUCCGCGCUGCAUUAGCUAGUUGGUAAGGUAACGGCUUACCAAGGCAACGAUGCAUAGCCGACCUGAGAGGGUGAUCGGCCACACUGGAACUGAGACACGGUCCAGACUCCUACGGGAGGCAGCAGUAGGGAAUCUUCCGCAAUGGGCGAAAGCCUGACGGAGCAACGCCGCGUGAGUGAUGAAGGUCUUCGGAUCGUAAAACUCUGUUAUUAGGGAAGAACAUAUGUGUAAGUAACUGUGCACAUCUUGACGGUACCUAAUCAGAAAGCCACGGCUAACUACGUGCCAGCAGCCGCGGUAAUACGUAGGUGGCAAGCGUUAUCCGGAAUUAUUGGGCGUAAAGCGCGCGUAGGCGGUUUUUUAAGUCUGAUGUGAAAGCCCACGGCUCAACCGUGGAGGGUCAUUGGAAACUGGAAAACUUGAGUGCAGAAGAGGAAAGUGGAAUUCCAUGUGUAGCGGUGAAAUGCGCAGAGAUAUGGAGGAACACCAGUGGCGAAGGCGACUUUCUGGUCUGUAACUGACGCUGAUGUGCGAAAGCGUGGGGAUCAAACAGGAUUAGAUACCCUGGUAGUCCACGCCGUAAACGAUGAGUGCUAAGUGUUAGGGGGUUUCCGCCCCUUAGUGCUGCAGCUAACGCAUUAAGCACUCCGCCUGGGGAGUACGACC